GAUGAACGCUGGCGGCGUGCCUAAUACAUGCAAGUCGAGCGAACGGACGAGAAGCUUGCUUCUCUGAUGUUAGCGGCGGACGGGUGAGUAACACGUGGAUAACCUACCUAUAAGACUGGGAUAACUUCGGGAAACCGGAGCUAAUACCGGAUAAUAUUUUGAACCGCAUGGUUCAAAAGUGAAAGACGGUCUUGCUGUCACUUAUAGAUGGAUCCGCGCUGCAUUAGCUAGUUGGUAAGGUAACGGCUUACCAAGGCAACGAUGCAUAGCCGACCUGAGAGGGUGCUCGGCCACACUGGCACUGAGACACGGUCCAGACUCCUACGGGAGGCAGCAGUAGGGAAUCUUCCGCAAAGGGCGAAAGCCUGACGGAGCAACGCCGCGUGAGUGAUGAAGGUCUUCGGAUCGUAAAACUCUGUUAUUAGGGAAGAACAUAUGUGUAAGUAACUGUGCACAUCUUGACGGUACCUAAUCAGAAAGCCACGGCUAACUACGUG
rnacentral:rRNA from 1 species